CAUAAAAUUCAAAAGCUUUUCCACAGACAAAAUCAAUGCAGCUAAAACUAAAAGAGAAGUGAGAAGUUGGGGGGAAGCAACAUAGUCCAUAACGUUUUUCAAUGAAUCAUUCUGCACAUACUUUACACAAUGUGAAUUUACCCAUCUCAGCUCUUGUCUUUUCAUCAGGAAUGCUUCAGCGGCCUCUAUUUCAUUAAAUGGCCAAUUUUUCUCUUGCCGUCGCUUCCCUGAGAGUAAGCCCGUAGUAAGUGAAAGGUUCUCAGAAAGAUUAUCUCCUCCAUCCACAUUAAUAUUUCCUCAAGAAUCUUCAGAGAUUAGAUGUUCUUUCCCCUGAGGGUAGUAAUUGGAAUGUUUCAGAACGACUGUUCCAUCUACAAGUGUAUUUGUCUUCUGUGUGUUCAAAGUUAGAUGUGCUUCAACAGAAAGCGAGAUGCUUUAAUAACUGGACUUUCGAAAAGAUUGUCUUCUACAAAUAUCUUUUCCUCUCUGGUUAUAUAGUUGUGUUGAUUUUUCAUUC
rnacentral:lncRNA from 1 species